AGUGAACGCUGGCGGUAGGCCUAACACAUGCAAGUCGAACGGCAGCACAGUAAGAGCUUGCUCUUACGGGUGGCGAGUGGCGGACGGGUGAGGAAUACAUCGGAAUCUACUUUUUCGUGGGGGAUAACGUAGGGAAACUUACGCUAAUACCGCAUACGACCUACGGGUGAAAGCAGGGGAUCUUCGGACCUUGCGCGAUUGAAUGAGCCGAUGUCGGAUUAGCUAGUUGGCGGGGUAAAGGCCCACCAAGGCGACGAUCCGUAGCUGGUCUGAGAGGAUGAUCAGCCACACUGGAAGUGAGACACGGUCCAGACUCCUACGGGAGGAAGCAGUGGGGAAUAUUGGACAAUGGGCGAAAGCCUGAUCCAGCCAUACCGCGUGGGUGAAGAAGGCCUUCGGGUUGUAAAGCCCUUUUGUUGGGAAAGAAAAGCAGCAGGUUAAUACCCCGCUGUUCUGACGGUACCCAAAGAAUAAGCACCGGCUAACUUCGUG
rnacentral:rRNA from 1 species